GCCAAAGUGGGUAGGACACUUACAAUCCGGGGAGCAGACCAGAAGUCCCUCUGCCUCAGGUCUCAAGCCAUACUGAAUCUGCCCAGACGCUGCCGCCUGUCCUAAGUCACCGAUCCUCCCUAUCAGGGGUUCCUGGAAUCUGAUGUCAAGAGGUAAGGACGCUCCUGCUCUCCAACCGGACCUCUCCAGUCGGAAAGGGAACCUUCGCCUCAGCUGUGCCUCCCCCGCCCCUGGCCACCGGCUCCUUGCUCCCCAAAUGCUGAGUCCGCGAGGUCUCAGCUUUCUCGUGGUUUACACGCAGCCCGCUGGAGGCCCACACUGUGCAUGGUGACAAGGGACAGAGUUGAACCCAUGGACGUGGAACUCACAGGUACAGAGGCAGAGUGAGCUGUUAUGCCACCAGGGCUCCCAUGUCCCCCUACUUUCAACACGCCUAGGGCCCUGCUCCGUCUCCUGGGUCGCACACCACUCUGGGAACCAGCAGAUGUCUCAGAGAUUGCUGCUCUGUAGAGCUCACUUCCUGUGUGCUUUGGUCUGUCCUCUGGAUCACGCUGCGGCCUCGUUUUCCCCCUCCGGACUCUGAGGCAGAGACACCACGCUGUAGUCCAGGAGCCCGUCCUUCCUGUACUCGACUCUCGAUCAAAGCCAGAAGCCUGAAGCAGGAAGUGGGAAGAGGAAGCAGGAAGUGAGAAGCAGGAAGCAGGAAAGAACACAGCUCCUGACACUUCUUCAGGAUCCCUUCCUCUGGGGCCAUGGCCUUUGAGACUACAGAAUCCUGACCGUGGGGGUUUGCUGUAGUUUGGAUGGGGAAUGUUCUCCCGGCCCCUGCAGUAGAGGCUUGUUCCCAGUGAGGUGCUAUGAGCAUGGUGAGACCCUUAGAGAGGGGCUCGUGGGGUGCCCUCAGAUGGCUGAGGGUGCACCCUCGAAGGAGAUACUGCGACCUCCGUUUUUCCUUUUCCUUUCUUUCCCUUCCUGGCCAUGAAUUGAGCAGUUUUACUCUGCCACUCAUUUCUGCCAUGGUGUGCUGCUUUGCCACAGGCUCAAAACGAGGUUAACUGAUCGUGGAGUGAAACCUUCAAAACUAUGAGCCAAAAAGAGACCUUUGGCUCUUUAUUUCAGGUAUCUGUUAUAGUGAUGGAAAACUCACUCACAGUGUAAAACUGUAGAGAAUAUUUGAGGAAAUUACUAAUUGGGAUGUUGAUUUCAACUACUAGAAAAAUAACAAUGUGAGAAAGAAAAGAUUUUGGGGAGCCAUCAGAGAAAUAAUAAAGAUUAUUUGAAUGCACUAUUGGAGAAAACUGUUAUACACAUUUCAAAAGUGUCUAUUCUGAGACAAAUUUUCUUCAAUUACAGAAAUUAAGCAUGACUCAGAUGUGUCCCACUUUCCUGAUAUGUGGCCCAGGUACUAGAUCUAAAAAUAACAAGACAGACUUCCCUAGUCACAAACAUGAGGUAGGCACCUCACUGAAAGAGUUUAUCAAAUACAGUAUUUGUACAUCUUCCUAUUCAUGGUUUACCUGUCAUGGAAACACUGAGUACAAUUCAAAGUGUCUUAAGUCACAUAGUGUUUUAAAUAUUCUUUAAAUCUGUAUCUUUUGCACACAUUCUCAAAGGAGAGAGAUUGCAAAUGGGGUGAGAAUUUGAGGGGAUACACGUGUGCAAAACAUAGUAUUCUUUGGUUGUUGUUGUUUUGGUACUGGGAUUAAAUCCAGGGGCACAUGACCACUGAGCUACAGUCAUUAUAUUUUUAGUUUUUAUUUUGAGACAGGGUCUCACUAAGUUGUGUAUGGCCUUGCUGAGUUGCUUAGGCUGGCCUCCUACUUGCAAUCCUCUUGUUCCAGCCUCCUGAGUCACUGGGAGUACAGGUGUGUGCUGCCCGGGUCCAGCAUAGUACUCUUUAAUGCAUCUUCUCACAUAUAAAACAAAGAUGUAAAAAUAAUGCAUAAAUCCCAUAUGUCUUUAACAUUAAACUUUUCACCAGGAAUAAAUGUCUACAAAGGCUGGUUGCAGGGUAUGGGGGAUGAUGAAACAGAUUGAGAAAUACUGCUUCGGAGAGUUUUGUAAUGUUCUUCUUUUUUAAAGUGUUACUUAGUCAUUCAUGUUCAAACAGGAACCUAGAUAUUUGCAUCCUGUUUGCUUAAAAUGAGACAGAUCUACAGAAAGCUUGUCAGGACCACAGGGCAACAUUCACAGAGGCUCCUGGGAGAGUCUCCCAGUUGGAAAAUAUGUGCCAGGCUAUCACUAGAUAAUAAGGCUAUUUGCUGUCCACUGCUCAUGGGAACAGUCUCUUUAUUAUUUUAUGAUCAGAUCUCUUCAGUGGUAAUAAUACUAAUAAUUACAAUAACAUAUUUCAUCCAAAUCAAGGUCCCAUUAAUGGUAAGA